CUGGUCGCACACGACUGGCGCAGGUGGGUCACCACCGGGGAGUGAGGUCGGGGCAUCGUUCGCCUGGGUGCCCCGG
rnacentral:ncRNA from 1 species